rnacentral:lncRNA from 1 species
GCGCCACGGGCGCCGCUCCGGACGCUGAUUGGUGAAUCCGGGGAGGGGGCGUGCCCUGCCCGCGCAGCUGGGACGCGAGGGGAGGGGAAAGUAGAAGCUGAAGGACCCAGGGGGACGGCUGCUGGGCCCGGUCUUCGCCUGAGUGCUGUGCUCUGGGUUUGGAACAGGUGACCGGGCCUCGGUCUCCCUCAGCCUGGUGCAUCAGCAAGAAAAGCUGUGGGGAGGCAGGACUUGGCGCGAUCGAAGGAUGCAGUGUUCAAGUCACAGCGGCCCAACAACCCAGUAACUUCCGUUUGCACAGUGCUUUGGGGAGCUUUCAACUGGGUGAAAUCCUUGCACAGACCUCUGAGAUGAAGAAAACGAGACCCAGACAAGAGAAGGACUUCUUUAAGGUCACACGGUGAAUAUGUGACAGCCAGAAUUAGGACUCAGGCCCCAUCACACCUGGCUUGGUGGCCUUCCUGCUACACCAUGGUCCCUGAAGAUAUUUCAGACUAUGAGUGUGCCUGCAUCAGCAGAAAUCAAGUGUAGAACCAGGGCAAACUGAAAGAAGAGCAGUGAGUUGGGGCCAUGUGCCUUUGGCUUGGGCCCCUGCCCUCCGGGAGCAAUCUAGGGGCCAGGUGGCAGCACCGGGAAGGACUUGAGGCGGUAACGCGAUGCCUGUGCUGGCCACCUGUCCGCGUGAGGGCUUGAAGGUAUGUUUUUUUGUCUCUUCCUCACCUCCUACUCCCUAAUGGUUGAUUUAGGUCCUGAAACCAGACAGUAAUAUUCUGCACUUGCCAACCCAGUUCCUUUUUCAAGUUUGUGUUGGCACUCAAGUUAAAAAGCCAUUCCUUUAUUUCCUCCCCCUCUCCCACCAAAAAUAAAUAAAAGAGCCCGAAUGGCGUGGGGCCCCUGCAGACGCGUGCAGGUUUGCUGACACUGAACUCUGAGCUCUUACCAUGAAAACGCCGGCCCCUAGAGUGGUAUGAAGAUUAUUAUUCUAUAAAUGGAAAAUUCCACUCUGUUCGCGCAGCCUUGCAGCCCGCAUGCUUUCAAGGUAUGCAGGCUUUUCAAGCUCUGAGGAGUAAGUGCCACCGUUCUGAGAAAAACUUCUGCAAGGAAAGUUUAAAACCGCUGGCUCCCGUGUCUGAUCCCCCUUGGUCAGGCCAAAGAGAGGAAGGAAAUAAGUGAGGUCUUCUUCCCUCUCCCCACGUGAUUUUUAGCCUUUGUGGGUUUACGAGGGGAAUAAAACUUCUAAGUGAACCGGAAUAAGAACAGAUGCCUUGAUGUGGAGCUGCAGCGUGGGUGGGUGGUGAUCAUGGAAUGGAGGUGCCCUGGAAAGAGGUGGAAGGGAGCUCCUGUGUCCUGGGGGUCUAGCUACAGGCUGCCUCCCCAGGCCGCCCACCUGAUCUGCCAUCGGCCUUGCCUGCGGUCGGUGUUGGCCCGGUAAACAAUGUCUGGAAGUGGAGGCAUAGUGUGUGAAGGCUGGUGCGUCCCAGCCCAUUCUGGCCAGUACGCUGAGAGUCUUUGCUGUUAGUGACCACUGAAAGUUCCGAGUGGGUGCCUGCUCCAGCUUUGGGUUAAAUAAGCAGUUCCUUUUGUCACUAAGCACGGGCCUCAGCCUGGCCAUGAGCUCUCCAGCUCUCUUUGAGGUGGUGGAACUGACUUCAGAGAUGUUCUUAGCACCUCGAUGAAGCCUGCCUGCCUUUUUUCCCUUUCCAGAAGUCUGAAAGGAAACAGAAAUAGCCAGAGCGUGAAAGUUUCUUCAAGGGACACCCUCAGAUUGGUGGGGGCAGGAAGACAGGUCAGGACAGGCCUCAGCGCAGAGGUUAGAGGGUCUUGCUCAGUCUCUUCUGGAAGAGGGCCUGUGUGGCACAGGCAGAAGGCUCUGGCAGGGUGGGGGUGGCUGUUGGGAGGACUGCCUGGGCUCUGCAUUUCCACCUCUCCGUUGCCCCCAGCCUCCAGGCGGGCCAUUUCCUCUGCUGGCAGCAGAACUGAACCACGAGAGGCAGCACACAGGCCUCGGGCGUCUUGAGGCUCUUCAGAAACAUGAGGUCAGCCCUGGGGAAUGAGGCACGUUGGCGGGUGUCCAGGCAGCUACAGAGAUGCUGUUUGUCAGGCUCCGGGCUCCUGCUGCCUUGCUUGCUGGGCUCUGUGGAGGGACAGGAAGUGCUUUCGCUCCCCAGCCCUGGGGCUGGGAGGUGGUGAGGGGCAUCUGGGCACCGUGGGGGCUCUCUUCUGUGAUGGCAUUGACUUUCUCCAUAUCAUGCCUCUGGCCAAGCUUAGAGAGUCCUGGAGAUGGGACUCCUGCCCCUUGGGGACUUAGAGUUGACCACAGUAAGUUGAGAAGCCACGUGCUCAAGGGAUGGGCUGCUGGUUUUCAUCC